UACCAGCACCCCGAGUGGUCGGGACGAUUAUUGGGCCUAAAGCAUCCGUAGCCGGUUCUACAAGUCUUCCGUUAAAUCCACCUGCUCAACAGUUGGGCUGCGGAGGAUACUAUAGAGCUAGGAGGCGGGAGAAGCAAGCGGUACUUAGUGGGUAGGGGUAAAAUCCGUUGAUCCAUUGAAGACCACCAGUGGCGAAGGCGGCUUGCCAGAACGCACUCGACGGUGAGGGAUGAAAGCUGGGGGAGCAAACCGG
rnacentral:rRNA from 1 species